UAAUGAAUAAUAGAUUUGAAAUAUUUAUUAUAUAGAUUUAAAGAAAUAAUCAUAGAAUACAUAAGUUAUUAAUAGUUAUUAGGUUACUAAUAAAUAAAUAAAAAUUUAUUUUAAUACCUAAGGGAAACCAAAUUUAUAUAUAUAUUAAUAAUAUAUGUAGUAAUAAAUAUACUAAGUGAACUGAAACAUCUAAGUAACUUAAGGAUAAGAAAUCAACCGAGAUAUUAUGAGUAUUGGUGAGAGAAAAUAAUAUAGUUAAUAAAUAAAUGGUAAGUAUUAUGUAAUAUAAUUAUGUAAGAAUAUAGGACAAACUAGUUCUAAAACUAAAUACUAUUAAUAAGCAAAAUAAGUACCGAAAGGGAAAGUAUGUAAAUGGUUAUUUUAUAAGUAAUCAUAGAUAUAAAAUUUAUAUUAAUGAUGUACCUUUUGUAUAAUGGGUCAGCAAGUAAUUAAUAUUAGCAAAAUAACAAAUUAUAAAUAAAUUGAUAAUAAGUUAAUAUUAAUUGACCCGAAAGCAAAUGAUCUUACUAUGACCAGACGGUUAAACGGUCGAACAGGUUGAUGUUGCAAUAUCAUCUGAUGAGUUGUGGUAAGUAGUGAAAGACAAAUCUGAUUUGCAGAUAGCUGGUUUUCUACGAAAUAUAUGUUAGUAUAGCUUUUAUAAUAAUAAUUAUUAUAAUAUACCUUCUAACGAAGAUAUAUUAUAAAGAACGGUACAGCAACAAAUAUAUUUAGGGGAACUAUUGUAGUUUUAUCAAAAAUAUUUGAUCUCGAAAUGUUUAAUUAACCUUCUUACGAGGGUCCCACCCAAUAUCCCCGCAGGGGGGGGGGGGGGACCUUCAAUAUAAUAAUAUAUAUAAUAUUAUUAUCCAUAUCUAAAAGAUGUGGUGCUGAAGGGGAUUAUAAAAAGUCAGAUUAUGUGCGAUAAGGUAAAUAAUCUAAAGGGAAACAGCCCAGAUUAAUAUAUAAGGUUCCUAAUUAUAAAUAAUAAGUGAAAUAAAUAUUAAAAUAUUAUAAUACAAUCAGUUAAUGGAUUUGACAAUAACCAUAUUUUUAAUGAACAUGUAACAAUGCACUGAUCUAUCAUCUCCUAUAUAGAGAUAUUCUAUAUUUACCUAUCAUCUUUGAUGAUACGUUAAUAUAUUAAAUAAUAUUAUAAAUUACUCAUAUUGAGAUUCCCGCCCGCCCCGCAAGGGGCGGGUGGGGGUCGUCGAUAGAAGUAUUAAUAAACAAUAUACGGAUCUUUAUUUUAUUAUUAAGAAUUAUUUAACCGAAUAUUUAAAUAUUAUUAUUAAUAUUAAUAGUAAUAAUAUGGUAGUAGAACAUUUAAUGAAGAAGUAUAUUAAUUAUCAAUUAAUAUAUAAUAAUAAUAGAUUUAUUAUUAGUAAUUAAAUAGAGAAUGCUGACAUGAGUAACGAAAAAAAGGUUAAACCUUUUCACCUAAAACAUAAGGUUUUACUAUAAAAGUACGGCCCUUAAUUAAAUUAUAUAAAUAUAAUCUAAGAUAGGAUAAUUCUAAAUUAAAUAACCCGCCGGGCCACGAUGCAGAGCAUCAUGGACCCGGCGGGGGCAUAUCUUUUAUUUAUUUAUUUUUUUUAAUAAAAAUUAUAAAAGAUCAAGAAAUAUAUUUAAUUUAUACCGUAAUGUAUACCGACUCAGGUAUGUUAGUAGAGAAUAUUAAGGUGAAUUAGAUAAUUAAAGGGAAGGAACUCGGCAAAAAUAGCUCUAACGUUAGUCAAUAAAGAGAUAUAAGAACAAGGUUGUACAACUGUUUAAUAAAAACACCGCACUUUGCAUAAACGAUAAGUUAACGUAUAAGGUGUGAACUCUGCUCCAUGCUUAAUAUAUAAAUAAUAUUAUUAAAUGAUAAUAUUAUUAAAUUUAAGUAAAUAGCAGCCUUAUUAUGAGGGUUCUAAGGUAGCGAAAUUCAUUGUCCAAUAAUUAUGGUCCUGCAUGAAUGACGUAAUGAUACAACAACUGUCUCCCCUUUAAGCUAAGUGAAAUUAAAAUCGCAGUGAAGAUGCUGUGUACCUAUAGUGUGACGGAAAGACCCUAUGCAGCUUUACUGUAAUUAGAUAGAUCGAAUUAUUGUAUAUUAUAUUCAGAAUAUUAAGUAAUUGAUUAAAUAAAAAUGAGAUACUUAUUAUAAUAAUAUAAUAAUUCUAAUCUUAUAUAAAUCCCCACCCUAAAUCAUAAUACAAAAUAUUAUAGAUUUGGUAAAGGAAUAUUUAAUAGAUAUUAUUCUUAAAUAAAUAUAUAAUAUAUAUCAUAAUACAAAGUAUUAAGUAAAUAAAUUAUAUAAUAAUAAGAGACAAUCUCUAAUUGGUAGUUUUGAUGGGGCGUCAUUUUCAGCAAGAAUAUCUGAAUAAGUCUAUAUAUGUAUUAUAGUAUUAUUAAUAUUAAAGAUUCUCGUUCCUCUUUGGAGGGAUGGGAAUCUAGUUAAAAGUAUAUAUUAUAUAUAUUAAUUAUAAAUAGGAAUAUAUUAAUUUUUUGAAUUAAUAUAUUUUAGUAAUAGAUAAAAUAAUGUAUAGUAAAAUUGUCUAGAAAACAAUAAUAAUAAUAUAUUUAUUUAUAUAUUAUAUAAUAAAAUGUAUUAAAUUAAUAUAAUGGUUUAACUAUGCAACAAUUAUAACACAAACAAGUGAAAUAAGUACGUAAGUAUGGCAUAAUGAACAAAUAACACUGAUUGUAAUGGUUAUUGAUAACGAAUAAAAGUUACGCUAGGGAUAAAAUUACCCAUUGUCCCAUUAUAUUGUAAAAUAUAAUUAUUCAAUUAAAUAAAUUGAAGUAAAUUGGGUGAAUUGCUUAAAUAUCCUUAAUUAAUUAAUAAUAGGACAAUAAGCAGCGAAGCUUAUAACAACUUUCAUAUAUAUAUAUAUGGUUAUAAGAACGUUCAACGACUAGAUGAUGAGUAAAGUUAACAAUAAUUCAUCCACGAGUGCCCAAUAUCAAAUAAAUAUAAUAUCAUAAAAAAAUAUAUAAUACCCCCCGCCGAGUCCUAUCCAUGAUGCAAAUAAAUUCUGUAUUAUGGUAUAGUUCGAAAGGUAUUAUUUAAAUUAAGUAUUAAACAAUUUUAAGAUUAUUAUAUAUUCUUUUUAAAGGGAUAAUUUAUUUGAUAAUGAUAUAGUCUAAACAAUUUGGUAACAAAUUGAUAAAUAAAUAUGUAAUAAUAUUUAUAUAAUAAUAAUAAAUUGAACAGGGUAAUAUAGCGAAAGAGUAGAUAUUGUAAGCUAUGUUUGCCACCUCGAUGUCGACUCUACCUAUCCUCUUGGUUGUAAAUGCUAAGAAGGGUUUGACUGUUCGUCAAUUAAAAGGUAACGUGAGUUGGGUUAAAUACGAUGUAAAUCAGUAUGGUUCCUAUCUACUAUAGGUAAUAUUAUCAACUUAAGUCUUAUUCUUAGUACGCAAGGAUCAGAAUGAAUUAAUCCAUGGUGUAUCUAUUGAUUAUUUUAUAAUAUAUAUAUAUUAUAUAUAUAUAUUAUCUAUAUUAAUUUAUAUUUUAAAAUAUUAAUUCCAUAAAUAUCAUUUCAUGAUAAUAAAUGGAAUAUUAAAUAGUCAUAGUAGAGAAGCUAAAUUAAUAAAAAAUAAGUAUUGAAAGCAUAUAAAAUACGAAGUUGUCUUAAGAUGAGAUAAUAAUCUGAUUAUUUUAUACU
rnacentral:rRNA from 1 species